GAUGAACGCGAGCGGCAGGCCUAAUACAUGCAAGUCGAGGGAGAAUGUUGGAUUCGUCUGACAUGAAACCGGCGCACGGGUGCGUAACACGUAUGCAACCUACCUUUAACUGGGGUAUAGCUCAGAGAAAUCUGAAUUAAUCCCCCAUAAGACUACGACAUGGCAUCAUGAUGUAGUUUAAGCACCGGCGGUUAAGGAUGGGCAUGCGGUACAUUAGCUAGUUGGUGAGGUAAUGGCUCACCAAGGCUACGAUGUAUCGGGGGUCUUAGAGGAUGAUCCCCCACACUGGUACUGAGACACGGACCAGACUGCUACGGGAGGCAGCAGUAGGGAAUAUUGGUCAAUGGACGCAAGUCUGAACCAGCCAUGCCGCGUGAAGGAUGAAGGCCCUAUGGGUCGUAAACUUCUUUUAUUAGGGAAGAAAAAACGGGAUGCGUCCUGUACUGACGGUACUUAAUGAAUAAGGAUCGGCUAACUUCGUGCCAGCCGCCGCGGUAA
rnacentral:rRNA from 1 species